UGGGGAAUUUUGGACAAUGGGGGCAACCCUGAUCCAGCAAUGCCGCGUGAGUGAAGAAGGCCUUCGGGUUGUAAAGCUCUUUUGUCCGGGAAGAAAAUGCGCUUGUAAAUAAUGAGUGCAGCUGACGGUACUGGAAGAAUAAGCACCGGCUAACUACGUGCCAGCAGCCGCGGUAAUACGUAGGGUGCGAGCGUUAAUCGGAAUUACUGGGCGUAAAGCGUGCGCAGGCGGUUGUGUAAGACAGGUGUGAAAUCCCCGGGCUUAACCUGGGAACUGCACUUGUGACUGCACGGCUAGAGUGUGUCAGAGGGGGGUAGAAUUCCACGUGUAGCAGUGAAAUGCGUAGAGAUGUGGAGGAAUACCGAUGGCGAAGGCAGCCCCCUGGGAUAACACUGACGCU
rnacentral:rRNA from 1 species